UGUCGGCAUAUUAUUGGACAAAUCCCUUGAUGCAACGAUAUUAAGCCCUUGGUAAUCCGAACUAUGUGGAUAAUGGACCUGUUUAUGGACAAAACAUCCAUUGAUGGAUAGAAGAUAAGGUUUUGCAGGAUAUCAGUCCAUCAGGAGAUUGACUAUGUCUUCUAAAUGAGUUAUUUGCAACUAGGCAAUUGUUCAGAUCUUAAAUCUUAGGACUAGCGUGGAAGUAGGAUAAGAAAUGGUGCAAGUUGUUCUUAUCCAUGAUGGGUCUGGGUGUAAUCAAUUCCAGGAUAAGAUAGGAUAAGAUUGGACCCUUUUUUUUUUAUUUGUUUGCUCAGAUAAGCAAUUUUCUUCCCUUAUGUCAAUGAUAAGAUACUAACAGCAGUAGACCCUUAAAACAGGUACUGGAUAGUACACCGGUCCUACAGCCUGAGUGUUGUGCAUGCAACACAAGGAGAUUACUUAUCGUCUGCUGCUGCUUGCCCGUAUGCUCCGUUUCUAUGGAGUCAUUUCCUUCUCUCUCCUUGCUCCCGGUCUUUUUCUCCAUACAUUUCAUUAUCCUAGCGAAUUCAGUUGAGCGUUGCUCAACUUUCUCUCCAUUUCUUCUCUUCUCCUUUAAAUUUGAAGAGAAAUUAGUGGAGAAAAUUUCGGAUCCAGAGAGAAACCUCAUCAUUGGUAGAUGAAGGUUGCUGUCCAGGGGCCUCAGGUAAGCACAGUACAAUAAAGCUACUCAACCGUCCGGAAGUUUGCCCUGCCAUUACAGAAGGAUAAAUGUCUCAGAUAAGGGGACUUGCCAUGGCUGUAGACAUUGGGAGUUAAGACCCCGGAGAGCCAUAGAGCUGCAACGAGAAAAUUAUCAUCAGAUUUCUGGCUUUCCACCAUAUCGCUUACACCACCUUCAAUGGCUUUCACCAACUAUGGGUUGAAAAAGGAUGCUGCACGUGUCUCUCUUUAUAUCCUCUUGCACCUCCCUCCAUGCGCAUCUUCAAAGAAACUUUGUGUAAUUUUCUUUUCUUUUCUCUUAGCUCUGCAAGAAGGCUAGAUAUGAACGCCUUCUACUUACUAUGAAGAAAAUUUUUCCACUAGUACUGGUUCCAACUGGUAUGAGCUGUGUAAGUCGUGUUAUUUGGGAUUGACAAAAGAAUUCAUUGGUCGAGCACAACCAAGAAUUUUUUGGAGCAACUGUUUUUUAGUAUAAUGCAUCCAUUUGCCACUUUUGUUUCUCAUUCAUGCUUUCUUUCAUCCUUUCUCAUCCUGAUAACCUAUGCCCUGGCAACCUCAUUCUUCCUAGGACCCUUUCACUUUCUAGCUGCCACCAGCUAAAGAAAGAUCAGUACUGCAUAUUAGAGAGAAAAGAUAGGAACUCAUCUGAUAUUCAUAAAGAAACCCCUCCAAAGGGGUACCCCUUUUUUUUAACCUUUUGGAGGGAAAUGUUAGGCUCAAGGGAGCCUAAAAACCACUCUUGCAGCUUCAAAGGAACAUACCUCUAUGGAAUUCCUAUGACCUCUAUAUGAGUAACAUUGCCAUGAGCCGGAGCUAUAUAAGAAAAAUGAACAUGUCCCACUUACAAUCAACAGCACCUUCAGCUUUCACCUAUCGAGUCUAUGAAUUUUACUUUUUCUACAAUGUCAACAAAAUGUAAAAGAAGUUUGUAUACUGGCAUACUAUGAAUGCAAUUGAACUAUAAACUUAGAUGAAUGUUACCUCUUACAGAGGUCGAACAUCUCUCUCUCUCUCUCUCUCUUGUGAUAUAUAUUAGUGCAAACUAAACUUUAAUCUCACAUGGACAUGCAUGUAUCGCCUUCGGUUAGAAUGAAACAUUAAGUAUCACAUAUAACCUCUGCUGAAAUUUAAAUUAGGUUUUCUAACUUGUUCCAGUGGAACUUGCUUCUGCUUCAACUA